rnacentral:lncRNA from 10 species
ACUUUAGCUGGUGAAUAUUUCCAUAAGGCUGCGCAAGGUGGACACAUGGAAGGGACCUUGUGGUGUUCUCUCUACUAUAUCACAGGCAACCUGGAGACAUUCCCUAGAGAUCCUGAGAAAGCUGUUGUAAAAAGUUUGUCGACCUCUGUUUUAGGCCACCCUCACACUGAUACCCUGGCUCUCCAAAAGAUUGUUCUUCAUAACACAUUUGGGUUCAAAUUCAACCUGACCUGACCUUGGUGAUAAACUUGACUUAGACUGACUUGAAGUUUUUUAUCAUUGUUAUUUAGUAUAUUUGACAUGAAUAUUCAUGUUUUGUGGAUUUUCUGUUAUCCUCUUGUUAAUGAUUUCUAGCUUAAUUUCACUGUGAUCAGAGAAUAUAUUCUGAAUGAUUCCAAUCCUUU